GUGGGGAAUAUUGGACAAUGGGCGCAAGCCUGAUCCAGCCAUGCCGCGUGAGUGAUGAAGGCCUUCGGGUUGUAAAGCUCUUUAGCCGAUGAUUAUACUGACUGUAGUCGGAAAAUAAGCCCCGGCUAACUUCGUGCCAGCAGCCGCGGUAAUACGAAGGGGGCGAGCGUUAUUCGGAAUCACUGGGCGUAAAGCGUGCGUAGGCGGCUUUGCAAGUUGGGAGUGAAAGCCCAGGGCUCAACCCUGGAAUUGCUCUCAAAACUGCAAGGCUCGAAUUCGGGAGAGGAUAGCGGAAUUGUCAGUGUAGUAGUGAAAUGCGUAGAUAUUGACAGGAACACCAGUGGCGUAAGCGGCUAUCUGGACCGAUAUUGACGCUGAGGCACGAAAGCGUGGGGAUCAAACAGGAUUAGAUACCCUGGUAGUCC
rnacentral:rRNA from 1 species